rnacentral:rRNA from 1 species
GUAGGUGGCAAGCGUUGUCCGGGAAUUAUUGGGGCGUAAAGCGCGCGCAGGCGGUUCUUUAAGUCUGAUGUGAAAGCCCACGGGCUCAACCGUGAAGGGUCAUUGGAAACUGGAGAACUUGAGUACAGAAGAGGAAAGCGGAAUUCCACGUGUAGCGGUGAAAUGCGUAGAGAUGUGGAGGAACACCAGUGGCGAAGGCGGCUUUCUGGUCUGUAACUGACGCUGAGGCGCGAAAGCGUGGGGAGCAAACAGGAUUAGAUACCCUGGUAGUCCACGCCGUAAACGAUGAGUGCUAAGUGUUAGGGGGUUUCCGCCCCUUAGUGCUGCAGCUAACGCAUUAAGCACUCCGCCUGGGGAGUACGGCCGCAAAGGCUGA